rnacentral:snRNA from 1 species
GUGCUUGCUUCGGCAGCACAUAUACUAAAAAUUGGAAGGAUACAGAGAAGAUUACCAUGACCCCUGUGUAAGGAUGACAUGCAAAUUGAUGAAGCAGUCCAUAAAAAA